AGACUUGGAGGAACCAUAAUAAAACUGUGGAUAACUUACUAAAGUCUUAGGAGGAACUUGGUCAUAGUUGAUAUUGAAUAGAGAGAACAAGUGUCUGGGACUUUCUGCCACCGGU
ensembl:misc_RNA